AGGACGAACGCUGGCGGCGUGCUUAACACAUGCAAGUCGAGCGGUAAGGCCUUUCGGGGUACACGAGCGGCGAACGGGUGAGUAACACGUGGGUGAUCUGCCCUGCACUUCGGGAUAAGCCUGGGAAACUGGGUCUAAUACCGGAUAUGACCUCCUAUCGCAUGGUGGGUGGUGGAAAGAUUUAUCGGUGCAGGAUGGGCCCGCGGCCUAUCAGCUUGUUGGUGGGGUAAUGGCCUACCAAGGCGACGACGGGUAGCCGACCUGAGAGGGUGACCGGCCACACUGGGACUGAGACACGGCCCAGACUCCUACGGGAGGCAGCAGUGGGGAAUAUUGCACAAUGGGCGAAAGCCUGAUGCAGCGACGCCGCGUGAGGAUGACGGCCGUUCGGUUGUAAACCUCUUCAGCUGGACGAAGCGCAAGUGACGGUACCUGCAGAAGAAGCACCGCAACUACGCACCAGCAGCCGC
rnacentral:rRNA from 1 species